rnacentral:rRNA from 1 species
GAUGAACGCUAGCGGCAGGCUUAAUACAUGCAAGUCGUGGGGCAGCAUGAGUAGCAAUACUUGGUGGCGACCGGCAAACGGGUGCGGAACACGUACACAACCUUCCGAUAAGUGGGGAAUAGCCCAGAGAAAUUUGGAUUAAUACCCCGUAACAUAUAGAGUAGGCAUCUUCUUUAUAUUAUAGCUUCGGCGCUUAUUGAUGGGUGUGCGUCUGAUUAGGUAGUUGGCGGGGUAACGGCCCACCAAGCCUACGAUCAGUAGCUGAUGUGAGGGCAUGAUCAGCCACACGGGCACUGAGACACGGGCCCGACUCCUACGGGAGGCAGCAGUAAGGAAUAUUGGACAAUGGGCGAAAGCCUGAUCCAGCCAUGCCGCGUGAAGGAUUAAGGUCCUCUGGAUUGUAAACUUCUUUUAUUUGGGACGAAAAAAGGGAAUUCUUUCCCACUUGACGGUACCAAGUGAAUAAGCACCGGCUAACUCCGUGCCAGCAGCCGCGGUAAAAC